rnacentral:rRNA from 1 species
AGACAGGUGCUGCAUGGCUGUCGUCAGCUCGUGUUGUGAAAUGUUGGGUUAAGUCCCGCAACGAGCGCAACCCUUAUCCUUUGUUGCCAGCGGUUAGGCCGGGAACUCAAAGGAGACUGCCAGUGAUAAACUGGAGGAAGGUGGGGAUGACGUCAAGUCAUCAUGGCCCUUACGAGUAGGGCUACACACGUGCUACAAUGGCGCAUACAAAGAGAAGCGACCUCGCGAGAGCAAGCGGACCUCAUAAAGUGCGUCGUAGUCCGGAUUGGAGUCUGCAACUCGACUCCAUGAAGUCGGAAUCGCUAGUAAUCGUGGAUCAGAAUGCCACGGUGAAUACGUUCCCGGGCCUUGUACACACCGCCCGUCACACCAUGGGAGUGGGUUGCAAAAGAAGUAGGUAGCUUAACCUUCGGGAGGGCGCUUACCACUUUGUGAUUCAUGACUGGGGUGAAGUCGUAACAAGGUAACCGUA